rnacentral:rRNA from 1 species
UACAGAGGGUGCGAGCGUUGUCCGGAAUCACUGGGCGUAAAGGGCGCGUAGGCGGCUUGAUAAGGUUGCGGUGAAAGCCCGGGGCUCAACCCCGGGUCGGCCGUGGCAACUGUCGAGCUGGAGCACUGUAGAGGCAGGUGGAAUUCCGGGUGAAGCGGUGGAAUGCGUAGAGAUCCGGAAGAACACCGGUGGCGAAGGCGGCCUGCUGGGCAGUGGCUGACGCUGAGGCGCGACAGCGUGGGGAGCAAACAGG